AUCCGAUGAGAAUUUUUCUCUGAACUGCAACUUCGUAGUCGCGAAUUUAAAUUUCAAAUUUUAUCCAAAUGGACAAUAAAUAAUCUUAAAUGGAUGCUGGAAAUGCAGAAAAUGUCAAAAGCAUUGAAGCGCUUAAGGAUGUAAUAGACGAGCAAAAUCAUAAGUUAUCGUUCUUGACAAAAGUUUUGGAACAAAAGGAUGAUGUUAUUCACUUGCUAAUCAAGGAAAAAGAUAUAUUGGAAAAUGAAAAAAAAAAGGUGACAACAGAGCUAAAUGCAGCUAUUAAAGAGAAAGAAAACAUAGUAAUUAGAUUUGCGAUUGCUGAAAAGAAUAUAUUAGAUUUAAAGGAAACUCUUGAGUCUACCGAAAAAAGAAGAAGAAAGGGAGAGAGAGACUGUGAUUUUUUGAACAAUGAACUGAAGUUAGCUCAAGAUGAAAAAUCGCGCAUUGAUGCCGCACUAGCGCUGAAGUCCCAGGAAUACAGAAACAGUAGUCGAUGUAUAGAAAAAUUAAAAAAUGAGAUUUCGUCACUAGAAACAAAAUUCAAAUGGAAUACCGUUAAACUAAAAAAGGAAAUGAACAGCACACAGACGAAUCAAGCUGCAAUUGGAAAUGAAAAUGCUAUUAAAAAUGAAAGAACUAUUGCACUAGAGGAAGCAUUAGAAAAAACUACACGAGAACUGCAAGAAAUUACAUUACUGUUAGAAAAUAACUCAAAAAAGGAACAAAAUCUUCAGGAUGAAAAUGAUUAUUUUCAACAAAAUAUAUUGGAAUUGCAAAACGUACUAGAUGUGAAUGCACUAAAACUCGCAGAACUAGAUGCUAUUAAGUCUCAGUUGAUUUCACAACAGAAAACCAAUUCGGAACACAAAAAACGCUUGAAGGAGAUGGCAAACAUCAUUAAAGAUCAAGCUGCGAGUAUCGUAGAGUACAAUGACAAAGAAUUGAAACUAUUAAAGCUAAACGCUGAACUGAGUACAUUGAAUGCAAAAUUUAUUAACAAAAUGUCGUUGCAUAAGUCAAAAGUUUUAGCAUUGAUGCUUGAUAAUAAACAUAUUAACGAUGCGCAAGUGGAAUAUCAAUGUAAUAUCUUAAAGUUAAAGAAGAAUCUUGAAGUAGAAAAGAAAGCCCGUUUUGAUGAACGACUCUUAAUGGCAAGACAUUUGGCUGAAAAAUCCAAAGAAAAUAGUGUGCUUCAAAAUAAACUAGAACAGGCGUAUGUGGAAGCACCAGCAAAGAAAAAGAAAAACUAUUACUAAUUAAAUGCAGCUGUCCCUACAUACACACUUAAAUGCAAAAUUUGAUGUCGAUAAAUAUUUAAGCGCCAUUUGGACGGUAGUCAUUUGAACGAGAAUUCGUCGAAAAAUAAUUUUUUCAUAUCUUCGGUCAUUUCAUCAGCUGAGUGUCAGCAAAAAUUUCUUCAGUAUCUAAAAUUGUUUAAACAAAUUAACAAAAUGCUGUUUCCUACAGCGCUGAUACCAGCAACAAUAAACCUUUUUAUCAGUCGAACGCAAUCCAUUAUAUCGAAUUGCUACCCAGUCCCAGUAUAGUAAACAAAGACGUAGUCCUACGUCAAAAACCAAAUCAGAGGGUUGCGGAAGCGGUAUGCUGAGUUGCACUAACGGCGAUAGAGAAGCUGUCGAUGUAAAACUGGAAAAAGUCUUGUGGGUUCUCAAGCUUGAUAGUAACCUGUUAUCUGUAAGUAUGUUAAAUUCCAAAAAAUUAUCCGUGUUGUUCAGUGCCAACGGGUGCCAGAUUUUGGAUGAGGAUAAACGAGUUCGUGUGGUUGCCAACCGUAGCGGCGGGCUGUUUGUGCUACGUCAGGAGGAGAGAUCGAUGGUUUCAAGUACUAUUCUACAAUUGUAACGCCAAAUAGAUUUUGCUUAUAAUUUGUUAAACUACCUUAAUGAUUUUUAUACCAGUUGUUUUCAUUCAAAUGAUUAUAAAAGGUAAAGAGAGCUAAUUAAACAGACAGUUGAAUUCGUAUCAUAGAA